rnacentral:lncRNA from 1 species
CUUAAUUUUAUUUUUAUGUAUUCACAAUUGAAGAACCGUAAAGCAGUUGAAUAAUAUACAAAAGGAGUCAUCUGAUCCUAAGUUGUACCCUAAACAUUAUAAACAAAUUUUAAAAUGAUUUUUUUUAUUAUUAUUCGCUAAUGACAUAUUCGUAAUUUUAAGAGAAAAUACGAGAAAAAUAUAGCGGCAUAUAUAUUGAGUAGUUUUAAAUAAUCAAUAUCGGCGUAUAUUAUAUACAAAUAUGGAUCAACUAGUUCUUGGCAAGGAAUUGCCAAAUUUAAAAAUCACUUUAGCAGGAUUGGACUCGAAUAAUGCAGCUCCCUGUACAGAUACCAUUGAUAUUAUGGAAGUUGAUGAAAUUCAAGACGAGAAGGAUGCUGAUACGGAUGAAAAAGUUAAGGUUGAAGUAAAAGUAGAAUUCAUGCCUUACAAGGUUAAAAAAAUUUUCAUUUUUAUAAUUAAUAAACGUUUACUUAAUGCA